rnacentral:rRNA from 1 species
AGCAGCCGCGGUAAUUCCAGCUCCAAUAGCGUAUAUUAAAGUUGUUGCAGUUAAAAAGCUCGUAGUUGAAUUUCGGGGUUCUACCGUUGGUCAGGCUAUUGUCUGUACUGGCGUGUAGAAUUUCUACCUUCUGGGGAACUAUCAUGUUAUUAAUUUAGCGUGGUAGGAAACCAGGACCUUUACCUUGAAAAAAUUAGAGUGUUCAAAGCAGGCUUAUGUCUGAAUACAUUAGCAUGGAAUAAUAAAAUAGGACGGUGGUCCUGUUUUGUUGGUUUCUGAAUCGCCGUAAUGAUUAAUAGGGAUAGUUGGGGGCAUUAGUAUUCAAUUGUCAGAGGUGAAAUUCUUGGAUUUAUUGAAGACUAACUACUGCGAAAGCAUUUGCCAAGGAUGUUUUCAUUAAUCAAGAACGAAAGUUAGGGGAUCGAAGACGAUCAGAUACCGUCGUAGUCUUAACCAUAAACUAUGCCGACUAGGGAUCGGACGAUGUUAACUUUUCUGACUCGUUCGGCGCCUUACGGGA